GGGACGUAAUGUGAUGUAAACAUUUAAGAUUGAGGACCAACUAUACAAUAAUCAAGAUUGAGAGUUUUUAUUUUCUAAUGUAAAGGCACCACCAACCCUUGCACAAUUUUGCAUCAAAAAUUUGAUGGGUGUGUAGUAAUUAGAGAGCUGUGGCAGGGAUGGUGAAUUGGUGAUGGGCUCUGCAGCAGCAACAGCAUCAAUGUGGAGAAGUACAACAUCAUUGCCUGUUGUAUGGUGGAAUUUAAGACAAUUUUUGUGAGAUCACCUGGUUCAUGCUGUUUGAAUUUCCUGAUCAUCUGUGGAUGCUGAUUGAAUUGUCGUCAUAGGGCAAUUGAAACUUGAAUUAGAUCAAAGACUACUUGUUCUUCCAGUUAUACUAAGCCCUUGUUACAAACUAAUUUUGAAAAUAUCACUUUUUCCAACUCAUUUUUUACCACAUCCUCCAAAAAAUUAAAAAAUCAUCUCACACAUUUUCCCAAAAUUUUAACCACAAAUCCUCCAAAAAAUCACUUUUCACAAACUCACUUCUCAAAAAUCAGCACCACACAAGGAAUAAAUGGUUACUACAUGCUUGUGUACUAGUGCUUAACAAAAUAAGAAGAUUUUAAUCCUAUAUACCAAUUUGUCAUAUCCGUGGUACUUUAGUAACUAUAGUGGCUUUGCUGAUCUCCAUAUUAGCUUCUGUGGUGAAUACUCUCCGAGAACUGAACGGGGAAAUAUUCCCUUUAGCUUUGAAUAACUGGUGUCCUUGUUAUAUUCUAAGCUGGAAGUAGAUUGCCUACAAUGGAUAUAUAUCUAAG
rnacentral:lncRNA from 1 species